UACGUAGGGGCCUAGCGUUGUCCGGAUUUAUUGGGCGUAAAGAGCUCGUAGGCGGUUUGGUGAGUCGGGUGUGAAAUCUCCACGCUCAACGUGGAGGGGCCACCCGAUACUGCCAUGACUAGAGUCCGGUAGGGGAGUGUGGAAUUCCCGGUGUAGCGGUGAAAUGCGUAGAGAUCCGGAAGAACACCGGUGGCGAAGGCGGCCCGCUGGGCAGGAAGACCCCGUAAGGGGUCGGCUGACGCUGAGGCGCGACAGCGUGGGGAGCAACAGG
rnacentral:rRNA from 1 species